UACGUAGGCAGCGAGCGUUGUUCGGAAUUACUGGGCGUAAAGGGCUCGUAGGCGGCCAACUAAGUCAGACGUGAAAUCCCCUCGGCUUAACCGGGGAACUGCGUCUGAUACUGGAUGGCUAGAGUUUGGGAGAGGGAUGCGGAAUUCCAGGUGUAGCGGUGAAAUGCGUAGAUAUCUGGAGGAACACCGGUGGCGAAGGCGGCAUCCUGGACCAACACUGACGCUGAGGAGCGAAAGCCAGGG
rnacentral:rRNA from 1 species